rnacentral:lncRNA from 1 species
UGAUAAGAAUUUGCUACAACCAUGCCUUAAAUAUAAUGGUGAACCUUUUUGGGUAUUCUUCCAAAGCCAGUGGACAGAGUUGUGCAGUAACACAGUAAAGGAGGAUUUACAGAAAGAAAAUGUGAAUUAGAAUCUACCUCUUAUGCUUUCCGCAGUGAUGAUGUAGCUGGUCAUCUUUUGUGCCUUUGGACAUCUUGUUUCAGAAACCAUACCAGGAGCUAAGACAGAGAAAGCCAAAGGUCUGGUUUGCUGAUGGAAGCCAAAGUAAGAUCAAACAUUCCCCAAAGGCUGGUAGAAGCAGGAGGAAUGACACUUGCUAAUUUGAAUUUCAGAAAACACCUAAACCACUUUCUGAUCUUCAGAUUUUGUUUAGGUGCUAAGCAAAUUAAAAGUAAUGCUUACCUGGAUUUUAGAAUAACAUAUGGACUGAAGUGUCUCUUUGUUAUGGGGCCAUCAAACAGACGGUGAAUGAGGUAAGACUGUUUUUAACUGUUUUGCUGCAGAUAACACUGCCCUGUAUGACCGAAAAUAAGGGAAUUCAAAUACUGCAUAAGAGUCUGUUACUUCACAUUUUCAGAACUUUUCUUCAUAGAUGUG